UACGUAGGGCGCAAGCGUUGUCCGGAAUUAUUGGGCGUAAAGAGCUCGUAGGCGGCCUGUUACGUCUGCUGUGAAAUCCCGGGGCUUAACCCCGGGCGUGCAGUGGAUACGGGCAGGCUGGAGGCAGGCAGGGGAGAACGGAAUUCCCGGUGUAGCGGUGAAAUGCGCAGAGUAUCGGGAGGAACACCGGUGGCGAAGGCGGUUCUCUGGGCCCAUUGACUGGACGGCUGAGGAGCGAAACGUGGGAGCGAACAGGAU
rnacentral:rRNA from 1 species